rnacentral:lncRNA from 1 species
CUUUUCUAAUUUUUGUUUCUAUUUAUUGUAUAUAUGCUUCUCAUGUUGUUAGACAUGCAUAAAGAGCCACACUGAACAAAAAAAGAAAAAUAUCAUGGACUGUAGUUAGAUUUGAAUUGUCUUGAUUAAUUUAUGCUAUUUCAUCUUGGGUUUGAGGUUACAAAAUAUUUUCAUGAAUUACGGAGCAAGAGAGUGAAAACAAUUAUGGGAAUAACACUUUCAAAUCUAGGUCAAUCUAAUGGUUCAAAUGUAAUAGGUUCUAAAAGUAAGAAAGAGAAGUUGACUGGAGAUAAAAACUUACACUUGCAUGGAACAUACUUGAACUUGCCUCAAUGCUUAGUAAACUCUCUUUUAUGCAUUAUUUGAAGCUCUUAUUAUAUCUCUUUUCACUCACUAUAUAUUAUUAUAUAUAGGCUGUUUUUAACAUACAUUAUGAUAAAUAUGCAACUCUUAAAGAGUUCAUGGAGAAAUCAAUGGCCACUUCCUUUAUGGAGUUUCGAUAUGAGUUGCACGUACACUACAAGGAGUGUCCAAACCAACCAAUAGCUCAUGGGAAAGCAAAUAAGCCUAAAAAAAUUCAUGGCCAAGCUGAUUGGGAUUAUUUGUGUGACUAUUGGGAAAGCGAGCGGUUUCAAGUACAUUUAUAUGUAUUUUAACUGGUAUUUAUGUUUAUUUGUUACCUUAUUUAGUUUGUUGACUAUUUUCAAUUGUAUUUAAUUGUGUUUCCCAGAAAAUAACCAAGGUAGCAGUUGAAAAUAGAUCACAACAGUAGUUUAGCCAUUCAAUGUCAAGCUAUGGAGGUAAGUAAGG